UACGUAGGGUCCGAGCGUUGUCCGGAAUUAUUGGGCGUAAAGGGCGCGUAGGCGGUCGUGACAAGUCACUUGUGAAAUCUCCGGGCUUAACUCGGAACGGUCAAGUGAUACUGUCGGACUAGAGUACAGAAGGGGCAACUGGAAUUCUCGGUGUAGCGGUGAAAUGCGUAGAUAUCGAGAGGAACACCUGCGGCGAAGGCGGGUUGCUGGGCUGAUACUGACGCUGAGGCGCGAAAGCCAGGGGAGCGAACGGG
rnacentral:rRNA from 1 species